GCACGAGUGGCGGAACUGGCAGACGCGCCGGAUUUAGGUUCCGGUACCGAAAGGUGUGGGGGUUCAAGUCCCUCCUCGUGCA
rnacentral:tRNA from 1 species